rnacentral:ribozyme from 1 species
GCCUUGCAAAAUCACUUGCCUCCACGCGGCGCAAGGCGGUAACGCAACUAUUGGUUGCGGCAGAAAGUGGUA